CUGGAAAGUUUUUCCAGUGGGUUACCCCUGGGACACGGAGAAGUACAUGUUCUGUAAGAGUUAAAUUGAGAUUGAAGUUCCAAAGUGGCUCAAGGAAGGGGGAAAGUGGGAGUAUCAAGGAAGGUGGUGAAAUAAAGUUGGGAGCAGAGACAGGACUGGAUCGCAGGAGCCCACUCAGAUAGCAGACUCUGCAUCUGGCUCCUCAGCCUCCACUGGGAGCCCCUCAGCAAGACUGUUACGGGGACACAAGCAGGUGGAAAACCUCACAAGACUCAGCCAACUCUGUUGGCAUCAUGUCUUGCUCCAAGGACUCAGAUGAGCUUAUUUUCUUUGUGAAUGGAAGAAAAGUAAGUGUUCUGCAUUGUUAUUGCUAAAUUUACAUAGAGAAAGGAAGUGUGACAGAAAUAAUCUUUUUUUUUUUAAGGUUGCCAAAGACGGUAUUAGGUUCAGGUGGGCAACCUGUGACAAAUCCAAACCAAUCCUUAUCUGUAGUUCCUCGGAGAGAGAGGGAAAGGGGAAGGGAGGAAUUGAGAAAGGGGAGAAGAAGGAGAAGCUGGGGCCAGAAAGAGAGGAUCUCAUAAUACAUAUAAAAUGUGUUAGGAUUACUAGAGGGAAAGCACUUGGUUAUAUUAAUGUCUUUAGACCACAUUUUGUAAGAGUGUUUGCAUUCAUGUUAGGUUAUGGCUUUUCUUUUUUAGGACCCUAUUUCCCCUCCUUUCCACCUCCUCCCCCAGUUCUGACUGUAGCUUCUACAUCCCCUCUACCACUGCUGACACAUGACCAUGCAUAAAUUAGGAGUUUAAACCUUCAGAUCACUUGCAAAUAAUGAUGCAAGUUUUGACCAGCAAGAAUGGAAGGGAUGUGCCCGAAGGGCAGAGAUAAACUUCACAGGUUACAUUUUAACACUUUGCUUCUUUAAGCAGAGAUUCUUAACUCCCUUAAGAGAAGAAGAUAAAUCAUUUUCUGGUCUCAAAUUUUUUUUUGAAGUUCUUGAGAUUUAGCCAAGGUGUAAUCUAUGACUGGAAUGUUCUUUGAUUUCCACCGUCCUUGACGUUGUAUGUGAUGUGCAACCCAAUAUUUUUGUUUUCAGCCCUAUUGGCAAAGAGGAAAAGGCAGUCAAAGUUUAACUUGAGCUUAAUGGUACUGUGUGCUGUGCACACCAAACACGGACUAGGAAAUGAAAUGAAGGCUCGGCGUGGCCAUGUAGUGUGCCCUAGGUCACUCAGCUAACAAACACUGCGGGGACCUUGGCUUUCAUCUGUCUGCUUGCAAUGUUUGUGUCCUCUCCCCUGCUCCAUGUCUUAUCUCCUAAGGAGAUGGCUGGUCUACAAUCCCCCACUAAAGGGAGGUGCCUGUGGAUUUCCUGGGUAUUGAAAUAAUUCUGUUUGUCCACUGCUUCCUUGUUCGCUUGCCAACUUUGAGUGAAGAACAGAGAACAAAGAGGGUAUUUUGCCGGUGGCCAUGAAAGCUAAAAAUCAGCUCAGUUCCCCACUCCUUUCAUCUAACUGUAUGAAGGCAAGAGUUUUAAAAGCGUAUAGCUCUUCAAUAUUUCAGACCUUUUUAUUGUUUUCCUGAAACCAAGGUGGUUUUAGGAUGCAAAUUCUUGUUGGUUAUCCUCUGAAACAAAGCCAAACACUUGUCCUGCCAAAAUAAAGCAGAAAGCAAUACAGUAUUAUGUAAUUUUAUAAUUGUAGAGUGAUGUUUGAUCAGGUCAGGCAAAUAAGAUCAACAAAUAUAUUCUAAAUGAUUUUUACUAUUCAUAAAUAAUAAUAGGACAAAGGAAAAUUGCCUCAAUCUGUAAAAUCAUUUCCUGUAUGCACGUCAUUGAGAGGAAUGCAGACCCCGGAAUACAUUUAUUACUCUAUCUGAGAAAACCAUAUCCUUUUGUUUGUUUGGGAAAGCAAAGCAAAUUAAAAACUCUGGUAACUGAACUUUUUUCCUUCUAUUAUGCUUCCUUACAAACAUCUCGAUGUGUGUGGUAAUUGAGUAAAGUCAGUGGCUUGUCUUACAAAUGGAAUGGCAUGUGGGCAGUGGUUCCCAGUCUAAGUGAGGAUAAUGGUCACCAGUGGAUAGUGUUUAAAACAUGGAUUUUUCCAGCUCUGCUUCCAGGGAUGUUAAAUCACCCUGUCCCUUGAUGGGGACCCUCAACUUCUUGGUCAGCAUCAUAUUUAACUGAGGCUCCAGCAUCGGUCUCCAGGGCCAACGCCAGGCUACCUGUGAACACAUGCUCCUUGCCUGGACUGCCCUUCCAUGCAACUGAAGGUUCACAAACAGGAGCUCUGAGAGGCGAAACCAGUUUGAGUUUCCCAAAGGCGAGCCUCAGUGUAUGUCUUGCCAAUCUGCCUCCUGGUGGUUAUCCUGAUUGAUUCCCAAACUUGAAUCACAGGAUAAAGAUGAGCAUAUGCUAUAGGGUGGUCCCUGGGGCAAAUUAAACCACAUCUACACCCACACAAGAAAUGAGAGCCAGAAGGCCGAGAAAGACCCUGGCAGACUUUGUUUUUUGUUUGUUGUGUAUUUGUGUAUUUUAAUACCCAAAAUGUUUUAAAAAUAUGCCCUUAGAAGCUAAAUGGGCAGCAUCCUGAGUGUGCUGUCACUCAUUCUUUCCACUUUGUCAUUUUCCACAUUCAUAUAAUGAGGUAAAUGUACCAAAACAACAUUGGGGCCUUUCCAGCUCCACCCAGAAAACCAUCUCUAAUUCACUGCAUCCCUUCUGUCCUCUCCAUCACCAAGUCAAGUAUAAAUUUAAAGUCAAGGCAUCUUGUUUAAAAGAGGUGGUAUUGUAGAGGAUCCAAUUAUAGUGGGAAUCAUCUGUUCUCAAUGACUUCCAUGGCUUUUAGAUUACUUUUUUCUCUUCUGUGUGGAAAGAAAAAAAAAGGAUAGCCCUGAAUAAAAGUCAAAAUUGGAGUUGUUAUGGUUUGGAUGUGAGGUGUCCCCCAAGAGCUCAUGUGUGAGACAAUGCAAGAAGGUUCAGAGAAGAAAUGACUGGAUUAUGAGAACCUCAACCCAAUCACUGAAUUGAUCAGUGAUGGAAUUAAUUGAGUGGUAACUGAAGGCAGAUGAGGUGUGGCUGGGGGAGAUGGGCUUUGGGGGCUUGGCUUCGGGGUAUACAUUUGUAUCUGGCAAGUGGAGUCUCUCUCUGCCUUUUGAUUGUCAUGUGAGCCACUUCCCUCGGCACACUCUUCUGCCAUGAUGGUCACUUAGAGCCCCCAAGGAAUGGAGCCAGCCUUCUAAAGACUGAGAUCUCUGAAAUCGUGAUCCCUCAAAUAAAACUUUUCCUCCUCUAAAGUUGUUUUGGUUGGGUCUUUUAGUAAUAGCAGCAAAAAGCUGACUAAAACAGGAGGCUCUCUAAACCAAGAAAAGAAACAGGACUUGCUUCAAACUGCCAAGAGGUCUGUGUCCCUGACCUGGAAUUGGCUGAGGCUGAUGAUUUUCCUCCAUGGCAAGUGGCUGGCAUCCGUUGGUUGGUAGGUCAAGGUGUGGUUUCUUAAGAGAUCCCACAUUCUAACUGAUUUAUACUUGAGCACCAAAGCUUGUAGGGCAAGCAAGGUAUUUCAAGAAGUCAUUGAAAUUGCGCCUGUCCUGAAGUCAUUUUUCCCCUAUGUGAAAAUUUAAGGUUAAGGAUGGACAGAGUUAGUUCCUCUUUUUUCCUUGACCAUAACCCUUCCAGUCCAACUCACAGGGAUGAAGUAUGGCUGUGGAGGGCAGUGGCACCUGUACAGCCAUGAUCUUAAAUUGCAACCACAUCUCCCAGAAGAUCCGGUAUCCUUCCUCCAAGACUAGUCCGUGCAACUGAAUCCUAUGUUGAUUUUCCAUGGAGUUUAUUCCUGGCACACUUUCGCCCAUGUCACACUCAACAAAGAAAGCUGAACUAUCUCAUCUUUUAUGAGCUAGAGCAAAAUUAACUAUCUUACUUGUUGAUAAUUGGAGAAAAGAGGGACAGGAUUGUACUUACUUCUGCUAUCAAACUUGACACUAGUUCUUGGCAUCCUCCUUUUACAAAUAAGGGAAACUGAGGAUCUAAGGGAAUUUGUAUUUUUCACCAAAGUUAUAGAACUAGUGAGAGAGCAUAAAACCCAAGACCAUUAGACUGAAAACCCCAGAUUCUUCUCUUUGCAAGGUCUGCCAAGGACAGAUUUGAAGCCUACUGCCCCACCCUUUCUACUAUUCCUUCUGGAAACAGAUAACCAAGUUCAGGGCCAAACUCAAUUUCUCUCAUUCUCCUCCUGAUAGGUACAAUGCACCUCAUAUGCAUGGAACCCUCUGAGAAUUUGGUGAAAUGCCUUGUUGUCUUUAUUAUUCAUCCAACCAAUAUUUGUUGAGGUACCCCUUCCCUAAGUACUGAGAACCAAAGUUACCUGCACUCAAUUGUUGGAUGACUUGCUUUGCUGGUGGUCCCAUUGAACUUCUUCCCUAUGCCUCCAGAGUCUUUCUAAAAUAAUACAUUACCUAGAUUGUUUGAAGGGAACAAGCUAAUUCUUUGACCAGUCGUCACAACUGACAAACUGAAAUGGACAUAGGAACAAAUAAAAAUUCUAUUCCUGAGAUAUUUUGUUAACAAUAUAGUUUUGGGAGAUAAAUGGCUUUCUUAAUUCCAGGUAAUAGAAGUUUAUUUUUAAGUGACCAUACUUAAAUCGAAAAUCAUUGUGAUGACUCAGCUUUAACUUGUACUCAGUUAUGUUUGUGUCAAAGCAAUUAAAUAUAUAUCAUCUAAAUACAUAUUUUUCUUUCUUAUCCCUCAGAAUGCCACUGUUGUCUUUGCCAAUUCUUUUCAGCUUCCCUGUGGGAACUCUGAAGUCACUUCUCUGUGGCUGCCUGCCUGGUGCCCAUCUGUUCUCUCUAUGGGGCUGCUGUCACUACGGUAGAAAGCAAAGGAAGCACCAAAAGCAGGAUUCAUCCUGUUCAGGUAAGAGCAUAUUUUAACACAUUUAGGAUAAACAUUGGUUUAGGUAGCUUCUUUAACUGUCCAGACUUUCGCUUAUAGUUUUAGAGGACACAGAUUGUUGUAGGGACAGACGAGGCAAGGCAUCAAAGAUUCUAGGAAACAGUUUUAUUUGGCUGCAGCCAGGCUCAGAGGGCACAGCUUUUGCUGUAAUCAAUCAAUUCCCUGAACCCUGAGUUCAGGUAGUUUCAGAGUUUUAUACCCAGCAUGUAAGGGGAGGGGCUCAGAAGUUCGCUUCCCCCCCCCCCCCGACUGUUUUUGGGCAAGUUAACCCUUCAAGGACAAUACUUGAGAAGGGGAGAGCUUCUCCCCCCUCUCUUUCCUGCCCCUGCCAGCUGUUACCAUGGAGCCCAAUUGAUAACUUAUCUUAAAAAUAUAGACAUCUCUGUGAAGCCCAUCUCAAGGCCAGAGGCCUUGUUUGCACAUUUCUACAAACUACUGGAUACAUUUGUGAAGACUAGUAAGGGGGUGUCCAGCCCCUGGAGUGCUGAUUUCUUCCUGGCCAGUGGCCAAGCAAGAUAGGGCAACACGGAAAUAGGAAGUUUAUCUACAUUGAACUCUUUUGCAGAGACUCUUGCUGACAGUCCUAAAAUCAGCCAUGGUGACAAUUAACUGGAGAAGCCCAGGUAAGACUUUUCUGUGGAGAAAGGGUGCUACUUCAAGAUGGCAGGCUAAGACCUCUGUCCCCUUUAUAAAAAGAAAUAUUGCCCUUUUCUUAAUUUUCUUUUCCUUCUGCAGCUUUAUUUACUUAUUUAUUUAUAUUAUAUCUCCACAGAACUAUAGAGAAGCUAGUAAAGAGGUCAUGGCUCCAGCCUGAGUCCUUUCAGACCAUCUCUUGACCACAAGGAGGAAUCUUCCUUCCAGGAAUGUUUUGGAUUCUACCACAAAGACACAGCAGGGGGGAAAAUCACACUUAUCUUCAUUUCUGUAAUAAAGUGAGAAAAACAAAGAUGCAUAUUCUUUGUAUGGUCUGUGU
rnacentral:lncRNA from 1 species